rnacentral:miRNA from 14 species
GCUGUUGGCAUCUGGCACUGUGGUUCCUGCGUGAAAACAGUGGCCAGCGGGGCCUGGACUUACAGUACCACUUCUGCAGUCACAGUGAAGUCUGCC